UAACACGGCAGCGCGGGGUAACCUGGCGGCGAGUGGCGAACGGGUGAGUAAUACAUCGGAACGUGCCCUGUGAUGGGGGAUAACUACGCGAAAGCGUAGCUAAUACCGCAUACGACCUACGGGUGAAAGUGGGGGAUCGCAAGACCUCACGUCAUAGGAGCGGCCGAUGGCGGAUUAGCUAGUUGGUGAGGUAAAGGCUUACCAAGGCAACGAUCCGUAGCUGGUCUGAGAGGACGACCAGCCACACUGGGACUGAGACACGGCCCAGACUCCUACGGGAGGCAGCAGUGGGGAAUCUUGGACAAUGGGGGCAACCCUGAUCCAGCAAUGCCGCGUGUGGGAUGAAGGCCUUCGGGUUGUAAACCACUUUUGGCGGGGGCGAAAUAUCGAGUGCUAAUACCAUUCGGUGAUGACGGUACCCGCAGAAUAAGCACCGGCUAACUACGUGCCAGCAGCCCGGGGUAA
rnacentral:rRNA from 1 species